UCCCUACGGGAGGCAGCAGUGAGGAAUAUUGGUCAAUGGCCGGAAGGCUGAACCAGCCAAGUCGCGUGAGGGACGACUGCCCUAUGGGUUGUAAACCUCUUUUAUAAGGGAAGAAUAAAUGCUACGUGUAGCAUGAUGCCUGUACCUUAUGAAUAAGCAUCGGCUAACUCCGUGCCAGCAGCCGCGGUAAUACGGAGGAUGCGAGCGUUAUCCGGAUUUAUUGGGUUUAAAGGGUGCGCAGGCGGAAGAUCAAGUCAGCGGUAAAAUUGAGAGGCUCAACCUCUUCGAGCCGUUGAAACUGGUUU
rnacentral:rRNA from 1 species